UACGUAGGGGGCAAGCGUUGUCCGGAAUCAUUGGGCGUAAAGCGCGUGUAGGCGGCUUGGUAAGUCCGCUCUGAAAGCCCGGGGCUCAACCCCGGGAGGCGGGUGGAUACUGUCAAGCUCGAGUCCGGAAGAGGCGAGUGGAAUUCCUGGUGUAGCGGUGAAAUGCGCAGAUAUCGGGAAGAACACCCGUGGCGAAGGCGGCUCUCUGGGACGGUACUGGACGCUGAGACGCGAAAGCGUGGGGAGCGAACAGG
rnacentral:rRNA from 1 species